rnacentral:rRNA from 1 species
UACAGAGGUCUCAAGCGUUGUUCGGAUUCAUUGGGCGUAAAGGGUGUGUAGGUGGCGCGCUAAGCCGGGUGUGAAAUUUCGGAGCUUAACUCCGAAACCGCAUUCGAUACUGGCGUGCUUGAGGACUGGAGAGGAGACUGGAAUUCAUGGUGUAGCAGUGAAAUGCGUAGAGAUCAUGAGGAAGACCAGUGGCGAAAGGCGGGUCUCUGGACAGUUCCUGACACUGAGACACGAAGGCCAGGGGAGCAAACGGG